rnacentral:rRNA from 1 species
UACGGAGGGUGCGAGCGUUGUCCGGAAUCAUUGGGCGUAAAGGGCUCGUAGGCGGCCUACUAAGUCAGACGUGAAAUCCCUCGGCUUAACCGGGGAACUGCGUCUGAUACUGGAUGGCUUGAGUUUGGGAGAGGGAUGCGGAAUUCCAGGUGUAGCGGUGAAAUGCGUAGAUAUCUGGAGGAACACCGGUGGCGAAGGCGGCAUCCUGGACCAACACUGACGCUGAGUGAGCGAAAGCCAGGGGAGCAAACGGG